CGAGACACGCCACUUCCUCCCCGGUUGCCCUGGAGCCCUGUGGAAGCUAAGAAUGCGAGGAGUCUCUGCUCCUUUCCCCUUCCGGAUUUUUGCUUCAGCUGCGGCGCAGUCUGACCGAGCAGCUUCGAGGGUCUUCCGCCGGCGGCUUGUUGGUGCAGUGGAAUCCCCCAGGGAGCUGAGUGGUUCGUGGAAUCUUCUUACCGGUACAGCUUUCACUGUUGCUUGUGUUACAGUGUGAGGCUGGCCUGGGAACUGGUGUGAAGACCGCAGCCCUCGCUGCAGGGGGGCCCAGGGAGCCGGAAAAUCGGUUGCAGCACGCGUGUCUGUGAUGCUCCCCUUUUCUGAGGUCUGCAGCUGCCGCCCGGAGGAGAUCUAGCAGAGCCAUUUAUCAAACACACACAAUUAAGGCCAGCGUCGGCCGAGAUCUAUUCCAGGAGCGGAGCAGAGCCUGGGAGUGGGGCAAGUGACGCAAGUGACGCACAACGGAUCGUCCAAUCGGACCAAGGUCCUCCAGUGAGGGCGGAGCGAGCGUUGGAUCCUGGGUGGUCAAAUUUAGGCCCUGUGCUUCAGGCCGCGCCUGGACAACCAGAUACGAAAAUAGAGAUUUUUGGCUGAGCGUUGGCCUGGGAGACACCGAGACUGUAGAUAUUAGCAGAGAGAAGGAGGCCAGUUGUCAUGGGAAGAGUUUACCAAAGACAAUUUCGAGAGCUGGUUCCGCGAUUCCCCGGCUCCACGGCCAGAUCAAAGGAGCCUCCACAAGGAAGUGAAGUCCCAGAGGAACGGACCCGUGUAUGUUUGCAUGACGUUUGAUGAGGAGCGGACAGCUGUGGAGGAACGUGAUACCGUGAGGUACGUGUUGUAAACUGCGGGCAUCCAGAGAAGGCUGUUUGUUAGCGUUCUUCUGGGUGAUUCCCUGGUCUUCAGAGAGAAGGACGUUCCUCUCCUCCAGGUCUAAAGAGGGCGCCACGCACAUGAUCUGCUUCACGAGAGAAGGGUGGAGGGGCCGGUGCUCCGACUUAGCCUUCUGACCUGCCGUCCUCUCAAACUCCUUCAGUGUAAAAUACUCAGUAUGCCAAGGUGCCAUACUUUGGGGGGAGUGGGUCUUAGACCCCGUCUGAGGAAACAAACCAGUAUCCUGGGGUGUGCUUUCUGUGGGCACCGAAGCUGCUAAGCCUCUCCAUUUAUUUUGAAGCUCUCCAUGGGUCUGACCCAAGCUUCGGAACCUACUUUUCUUAUCUUUCCUACACACACCUUCCUUCCUCGACACACACACACUCUCAACCUUUAGCUCUUUGGAGUCAUAGAAUUAUGAAAUGUCAGACUAUGAAAGAGGCUCUGGGCCCGAAACGACACACACCUUCCUGAUGAUGCGCAAGACAGACGUUACCAAUGCAUCAUGGUAAUGUCCCAUGAAGCUCAGUGUCUACCUCAGAAUCCUUCCCAACCCAGCAUUCCAGGUAUCCAGUUUUUUUGUGAGACAAAGUCUAGUUUACAGAUGCUUUCUUUGAAGCUUUAAAAGUCAACUCUGAAUCCCAGAGAAAUGAAGUCGCUCUUCCAAGGUCACACGGCCGGUUGGUGACUAGGGGAAGAUGGGCAACAGGCUCUCCUGCCCGGGCCUUUGCUCUCUCUCUCUCUCUCCUGAGCCAGGGUUUCCGAGACUUUGCCCAUUUAUUCACUGUCUUCUUGGACCUCGUUCUCUUGACCGGCGAUCUCUCACCGUCUCAUUCUUCAUCCACCGCCCACGGACUACCAGGUGAUUUACAAGACCCCAGACCCUUCUCAGACAGAAUCUUAGCAAGUGGCUGAUCCACACGGAGCCACGGCCAAGAGAAGCAGCUUUGUUUGGGAUGCGAUCCACAUCGGGAAAGAAUGCACUCAUCCUGUGGUCCAGAUCUCUCCCCAAUGGCUGGAAUCGAGGGCCCGGAGUCCCCGCGGCCAUCCAUUACCACUGAGACGGCCCAGGUUGGGGGCCCGUGUUGUUUUAUAUGACGGCUUAUCCUGCCGUGAGCCGUUCUGUGCCCCUCGCUGACCGCUCACCUUCUGGUGCAGGCAUCGGCUCAGCGAUGAAGAAAUGCACAAGCCCGUGGGCCAUCACCAGCAAAUGUCCGGUUUUCAUGCUGCCUGUAGGGUGCGCUUUCUGGGGCAGUCCAGGGUACCCCAGGUGCACCAAGGGAUGACGGGGAACCCACAGGAAGGGACACCCGAUAAGCCAGGAGAAGGUUCAGAAGGAUGGAAAGGUUGCUCUGUAGCGAGGGAACGGCAGCAGCGAACGCACAGAGGCGUAAGGGAGCGGUGAGUUUAGGAGCAAUACAGACAUUUCCGAUUGUUGGAGGUAUGCCGUGAGGCCAGGGCAAGUGGCAGGUGACGGAGUGGAGAGAGAGAAAAAGGAAACAAGCAAGCGAGCAAAAAGUAUCCGUAACAUGCCACACGGUAAUAGGAGCAAAGGCAAAAGUCAAGCAGAGGUGGGGACAGAGCUGGGGAUGCUGUAGGUAGGUGGGUGGUCAGGGAGGGCUUCUCUGAGGAAGGGACAUUUGAGCCGCCGCGCGAGCUGUGCAAGGGUCCUCUCCCACCUGAUCUCAUCUGGUCCUCAUGACCGCGUGAAACGAAGGCCGCAGACAAGGACCCUACCGCCCCAGGGCUGGGCCUGGGCUGGGGAGUGAGUUUGAGGCAGAGCGGGGCCCAGGAUCCGGCGCUCCAGACACCCAAGGCAGGGGUCCUUCGAGCUCAGAGUGGCCUCCUCCGCCAAAUGUGGGCUUUGGCCCAGCCCAGGACCUCUCCUCGGUCUCUGCAGCCUUGUCACCCACGACCCUACCCAGCAGCAAGACGAGGUUAAGACGGGCUCUGACAUCAGACAGGUGCAGCUCUAAUUCCAGUCUCUCCUAUUAGCUGCUUCAUCUGGAGCAAGGAAGCCUCAGUGUCUUCCCCUGUGAAAGGGGGUAAUCGAGCAUCUUUCUCGUGGAACACCGGACGGUGCAAGCAAAGCCCUUAGCACCGCGCCCGGCACACGUAGACGGGGCUUAUGGAACGCGAGUUACCGGCCAUCUUGGCGCACAGGGCCCCCCGCCUCCUCGAGCCAUCUGAGUGAUGACCACACGGCCGCUGCCCUCGGCUGGGCCAUGGCGGGCUUGGCUCGGUGCGACAGGGCGGGCUGUUGUAGAGCGACCCCGGCCCCCUUGUCUCGAGGUGGGACCCGCUGUGUCCCUUCUAUGCCCUGUCACAUCUGAUGCACCCUCCUCGCCUUCCCUUCUGUUUGCCCGGUGCUUCCUGCUUUCAGACCUGCUCACUUUGCUCCCUAAUAUGCAUCGCUGACAGACAUUAUGUUUAUUUCCUUGUUCCCUUACGGCCGUCUCCCCUGACAGAAGUUGGACACCCCGAUGACGGAGAUUCGGGGCGCUCUGUGCGCGGCUGCAGGUCUGGCGCCCAGAACGUGACCGGACUCCCAGUAGGUCCUGGAAACAUGUUGGUUGAACGGGUGGAUGAAGAAAUGGAACAAAUGCGCUGUGGAUGUCCGUGGCCACGGGCCAUCUCCCCAGACAGCCUGUGUUAUUUUCUUUCAGGCCACGGCUGCAGAAGGUCAAGGGUCUGGUCCAUUUCCUUAGCCAUCCUGACCUUGACCCGAAGGCACUCGGCCCUGGGCAUGGGAGGGCCUCCUUCCAUGCACCCGUGUUCCCUCCAGGCCGGCGCAAGGGGGACCCUGUCUUUCUUCCUAGCUCUCAGGUCAGGUCCAUGAGGAGACAACAGGAGGGGAAGACAGAUAAGCCUAUGAGGCCUCUGGGGACCCAGAAGGGCCCACGUCUGCACCUGUCACCCCUACUGCACGGCCCUGCUCCUCACUCCAUCACCACUUCAGUCUCCGUUAGGAAGCUGGCGGGGGAGUCCGAAUCCCCAGGGGUUUGGACUCGUGGGCGCCACAUGUAGCGAUGAUCCCGCCAGCCUCGAAAUCAGGCCCAUGGAGCCCCACCCGCGGGUGCAGGAGGUGGGGAGAGUGGGACAGGGGGCAAUAUGGGCCGGUGCGACUCAGUCGAGGGGCCGCAGCCCAAACAGCAGCUGUUUCUGUGAUUCAGCAAAGAGCGGGUGGGGGUGCUGACGGCUGGGGCGGGCCGGGACUGGAGCUGAGUGAGAGGAGUCAGGGAAGGGGGGGGGGGACACGGGUCACCCUGCACGCAGGCCCGUAGCCACUACUUUUGGGUCCUGCCCCCGCAUCACCUUGGCCCCGUGGGCCUGCCUUCACCCCCGUGGCCUGUUGCCGCAUGUAGGUUUCACUGUUAUCCGGAAUUGGUGAGGCCAGCAGAUCGGGGCAUAGUCUGCCGCCCGCAGAUCCCAAGAGGAGGGGACCGUCACAUCAUGGGGAGCCACGCAGGGAAGGAGCAGGCGGGUCAGGACGCAGCGCGAGUGGGAGGGAAGCGUAGGGGCAAGACCCUGUAUUGUGGUUUCCGCAGGGAAGAGUGGGUGGGCAGGUAAGCAGGCGAGUUUGAGUAAUUUCAUUGGGCUCUGGGGCCCAGGAACUGUCGCUCGUUGUCUGGUAUCUGGCCCCGGGGUGAUUAGGGCAGGUGGGUAGCCGCCCAGAUAUGAGGGUUAAAUGAGGUGGUUGUAAUAUGUCUCUGUUUGGGUUGCCCCUAACAGGCACACUCACAGGCCAGUGGUUUGCGCUCUCAAGGAACUGGCCAGCCCGGGGCGGGGUCGUCCCUCCAGGGUCACAAAGGCCCCAGAUGUCAGAGCAUCAGAAACGCAUGGGUAAUACACACCCCCUACCCCGUUCGCCAGACUCCCCUGGGAGCGGCACUCAGGCCACGGUUGAGCCCCAGCGCCAGUCUGACGACUGGGGGGAGGGGGGGAGGGCUCUUGGCAAAAGGUGGGUGGAUGAGGGACCACCAUGGACCAGACACGGUGCCGGGCACUGGGGGACAGAACAGUGAACAAGAAGGCAAGAUCGCUCCUCUCAAGGAUUUUAUGCCCUGGAGGCAUGGUGGACCCCGAACCAGUAAACAAACAGAUAAACGAGGGGCCUCGGUUACUGGGAAGUGUGAUGGCGAAAUAAAACGCCAAGAUGUUACGGCCUCCAGGCAGGAUGGAGGAUGGAAGGAGAGGGGCUCCAUCGGGAAGGGCGGUCAGCGUAGCCUCUCGGAGGAGGUGACUGUUGGGCUGAGACCUGAAUCUUGACAAGGAGCCACACAAAGAUUUGGGGGCAGAAUAUUUUAGCGGGGGGAAGACGCGAAGGAACGAAUAAAUGAAAGACCAAAUCCGUUUCUCGGUCUGGAUUGCCCACCUCCUUACAGCUGGCGGCAGGGUAUUUUGAGGCCUGAAUGACAUCCGGGUCAGAAUCUCACAUAUUCACAUCGCUUCCAUCACGGUCUCCGUCACGAAGGGAGACAUUCCACAGGGUGACCUGGGCCCUGUGAGCAGGCGCUUUGGGGCCUCGGGGCAAGACACCCUCUUAACCAUCCACGUUCUCUGACCCCCUGCUUCCAGGCAGACAGGCUGUAAGCAGUUGUAACGGGCGUCUCUCCUGCUCUGGGGGCUGGAGCAGACACCUUGAGACGCUCGUCUCGCUGGCUCGCAAGGCUGUCACGGCAGCCGUGUGCACCCCCCUGCAGGCUGGGGGCCCCCCACACCGCAUCUGUCCCAGCCACGUGGGUCCCUGCUCCCCCCUGGGGAGGCCCCUGCCACCAGGCUGGGUUCCAGAGGGGAUUCACCACCGGCCCAGGAAAGCGGAUCGUGUCCAAAGAUCGGGCGUGAGAGGAGGUCGGGAAAGGCAGGAAAGCAACCUUCCCUGAGCGCCUACUUUCUGCUCGGGGGAAAGGGAGUGACUUCCCCAAGGUCUGGCCAUCUCUGUUUCAUUCAUUCAUCCAUUGGUCCAGGUUUCAAAUAUUUCUUGGAUCCCCUAGGGGGUGGGCAAAACACGGAUUUCAGAGCCCAGACACCCCCGGUCCAGAGCCUUUUCUUCCACUGCCUAGGAAGGGGGCCUAAGGCAAACUUGUCUGCCUCAGUUUCCUCAUUAGUAAACCAAAGGAUAAUGGCACCGGCGCCUGAUGAGGCUCCCCGAAGCAUCAGCAGGAAUGCCUAUGGGUCAUCCCGGCCCACAGGUGGUCCUCACUCACGUCCGGCACUGGCUUAGGGAUUGCGGACAGCCGGACAGGACGCCACAAGCCUGGCCUUCAAAAUGCUCAAAGACUGGGGCGCCUGCGUGGCUCAGUCAGUGAGGCGUCCAACUCUUGAUUUCGGCUCCGGUCAUCAUCUCGCUGUUCGUGAGAUCGAGCCCCGCGUGGGGCUCCGGGCUGACGGUGCAGCCUGCUCAGGAUUCUCCUGUCGCCCUCUCUCUCUGCCCCUCCCCCUCUUGGGUGCUCACCAUGCACGCACGUGCUUACACGCCCUCUGUCUCUCAAAGUAAAGAAAUAAACAUGAAAAAAAAAUGUUUUAAUGCUCAGAGACUAAUGAGGGACAGACAUGUCACAGCGGCUCAUGCCAGUAGGCAAGGUUGGAGUGGGUGCCACAUAAAAGCGUGAGGGACGUGUUACGGGUGGUUACGUUUGGGUGCAGUGAGGGGGAGUUUUCAAGGAACAUAUGGCACCUGAGUCUCAUGAGAGGGAGAGGAGAGGGUACAUCCAGGUGGAGGGGAUAGCCUCAGCAAGGCUUGGAGAGAGACCUAAAGGCUGUUCGGGGACAGUGGGGACAGAGUAGAUCAAUGUCGCUUGGGCAAGGGGACCAAGGGAGGGAUUGGCAAGGUGUGGUUGUCGGAUUAAGCUGAACGGCUUUGACUGUGACAGUAACGAACUUGAACUUCAUCCUCUGGGCAGAACUUGAGCUUCCCUCUGGGGAAGGCCAUAACAUACCCUGGCGGGGUCUUAGGGAGAGAUUUUCUGGGACCUUGUGGAGAAUGACUUAGCAGGGCUGAGACCGGGGGCAGAGAGCAGCUCUGAGGUCCUUCAAAUCCAGCCGCGAGAUGGAGAACAGACAGAUCUGGAUGAAAAGGAGACCGAUCUAUCGAGCACUUACCAUGUUCCGGACACGCCCCGUACAUUUGUUCACUCGCCUCUCAACAGUGC